UCCGAAGGGGGCUAGCGUUGCUCGGAAUUACUGGGCGUAAAGCGCACGUAGGCGGAUCUUUAAGUCAGGGGUGAAAUCCUGGAGCUCAACUCCAGAACUGCCUUUGAUACUGAGGACCUUGAGUUCGGGAGAGGUGAGUGGAACUGCGAGUGUAGAGGUGAAAUUCGUAGAUAUUCGCAAGAACACCGGUGGCGAAGGCGGCCAACUGGACCAUUACUGACGCUGAGGCGCGAAAGCGUGGGGAGCAAACAGG
rnacentral:rRNA from 1 species